rnacentral:rRNA from 1 species
AGAGCGAACGCUGGCGGCAUGCCUAAUACAUGCAAGUCGAACGAACUCUUCGGAGUUAGUGGCGCACGGGUGCGUAACGCGUGGGAAUCUGCCCCUUGGUUCGGAAUAACAGUUGGAAACGACUGCUAAUACCGGAUGAUGACGAAAGUCCAAAGAUUUAUCGCCAAGGGAUGAGCCCGCGUAGGAUUAGCUAGUUGGUGAGGUAAAGGCUCACCAAGGCAACGAUCCUUAGCUGGUCUGAGAGGAUGAUCAGCCACACUGGGACUGAGACACGGCCCAGACUCCUACGGGAGGCAGCAGUGGGGAAUAGUUGGACAA